CUUUUUAACCAUACAUUCUCCAAAACUCAUUUUGAUGAUUGUCAACAAGGCUUAAUGAGGAAAUUCAUCAAGAAUGGGCAGAUCAUGGAUAACCUUCUUGUGUCUAACAUUGCUGAAGUACUCCAUUAAACGACCAUACCACGAGAUAUAUAUAUCCGAAUAAUGUUUUGCUCAUGUCUACAAGCCAUUUAUCUUAUACACACAUUUCGAGAACUUACAAAUACAACUCACAUCUCCAUCACUCAUUUCUAUAUAUUUAUAAUUUGAACUUUUUAAAACACUUCCCAAACAAGGGAAGAAAUCAUAUACACAAAGAAAGUAUCCAAUAUAAACAUCCCAAGCUUCGGCCACCAGUCUCAAGCUUCAGAGUGAUGGUCCAAGUCAUUUACAAAGAAAGGCAAGAUUUUCAAAGUCAUCCAAUUUCCAGGCAACCCAGGGUCAAUCGUGCCGCUUUUGAAACUCAAGUAAUUUCUACAAUUGUAAUCUGCUGAAAUGAAUUUCUGAAACCUGGCCCCCACCAUUCUUACAAAGGUAAUUGCUAUCAAGUGGUAAUACCAGUGACAAACUAAAGGGCUAUUCACUCUCUAGGUGGGCAAUUCGUAUUUCAGACCAACAGAAGAUACUCUACACAGUCCAGCUUGAACUGACAGAACCAGCUCUAAUUCAAAUGAACAGAAAGCUAAUAUCAGAAACCAACCCUCUUUCAUGAAGACCAAAACCAGAAUGCUAUUUCCGGAUAAUAACUAAAGAAAUCUGUAAUGCUAUGAUCAUCAAAGCAUAAAACUGACACCCCAGUUCAAAUAAUUAUGUUUCCAAGUGAUUGUUGAGAAAGCCUAUAUAGACACCAUAGACAUUCAAAGUGGGGAUGGAUUAUCGACACAAGAUAAGUAGCAGAAAAUAUCCCUUUCAGUACUUCAAUGCCAAUGACUGAGUGCACCUCUGGAAUAAUGUGACAUGUUCCAUCAAUUUCUUCUAUGGAAAAUAUGAACUAUUAUCACCAUAUCAAACCAAUGAAUGCACUCGCACAAGAUGUGCAGCUAAAAUAAAUGUGCAGCAUCCCCAGUCACAGACCCCCUAUCUAUCUGUCAUAAAAUAAAUGUGCAGCAUCCCCAGUCACAGACCUCCUAUCUAUCUGUCAGCGAGCCAGCCAACUCCGCAUCUUAAAGUGUUCAUGCAGUUGAGAUUCUGGAACUUAUGUCAUCAAGCAGAAGGUAUCAGGGAUUUUGUAAAUCCAGCAAACUUUUAUAGACCCCCUAAUCAACCAAGCAUUCAAAAGGCGUAUUCCUAGAAGGUACAAUUUUGAAAUUUCGUCCACUAAAUUUCAAAUGUUGUGGGGCUACAUUUUAGGUUCCAACAUUCUGUUACAUGGUACGCAAGACUUAAAAGACAGCGGGAACAUUUUUUCCCUUUAGCAUGUCAGUCUCUUAUAUUUUGCAGUGCUCCAAGAAUUCAGGUAAUAUAUACCCAACUCAAUUUGUCAUCGAUGCCUUCCACCCAAAAGCAUGUCCACAUUUGAUCAACAGGGAUGUCACAUUGAAGGCAUUGGGAAAUAACCAUAAUUCAUAACUAAGAGUAAAGCAACCUGCAGUUUGACAUGCUUGGCCGGGGGGGGGGGGGGGGGGGGGGGGCUUACGAGAAUCAGGGAACUUUAACUUGAUAAGAAAUUCAUCAUCAAGUUACACAAUAAUUCAAACAUACGUUUGGUCUAGUAUAAUUUAAAGAUUGUAAAAAGCCUAAUCAAGUACCGAGACAUCUCCAUGAGGCACGUAAAGACAUCAGCUCCACACAACCAAUAAAACAACUAAAAAAUUUGUAAAAUUAUAUAGUCAUACUAAACCAGAAUCCAUUUCAAAGAUCCACAACAGAGGAUGGUUAAAAAUAAGUCCAUAAAGGGCAAGCUCACCUCAAGGUCAUCAAUAAGUCAAUGCACAAGCAUUAUAAAAUAGAACUUUAAGCAUAAGCUUUGAGUAGCACUUCAAUGUGAUAGAUGCACCCCCUUUCAUAAACAAUGGCCAAAUGAGACCAAUCCUAUUAGCUAAUAGACUCAUUCAUGUUAACCUCUCUCUCCCCCAAAAUAUUUUGGGUAAGUAAAUUGGGAUAUAGCAGUACAUGUAUGGUGAGGUACUAUUGAAACACCUUCUGCAAAAUGAAAGGUGCUAUCAGCGAACUCCCAUGCUUGAUUUAGGCCUCCCAUGAAUCAAAUAAACACAGAAGAGUUUAUUUGGGAUUAUGAAGGCACGAAUCCCUUUCUUAUAUAAAUGUCUAUAUUAAAUAUGUUUCCAUGUGUAUGCAUCCAAGUCACUGUUCUUACAAAAUUUAAUAGUCUCUAUAGUAUGAUGUAGUCUCUAUAAUGUGGCCCACCAUGGUGAAAGGGUACUACAAAGUAUACCAUACCAAGUUAAACAGAAUCGCUGGCGCAUUCCUAAAAAGCUAACACACACUCCCCUCAAACCAUUAUCAUAAGAAAAUUUGUAUAGAAUUUAUUAUUUGUGUGGUGAUGUUCUACCACUAAACUAGCACUCACUUGCCCACAAAAUUAAAAGGAACUAUAACUGAAUAGGUAUUUCAUACUUGUGUGGUGAAGUCCUAUUGAAACCUUGCCAGGUAACUAAACAUGCUUUCAGUAGACUCCCCAAGUCAAUGUAGGCCUUCUAUGAAACAAAUAAACAGGAAUAGUUUAUUUGGAAUUCGGAAGGCACAGAUGAUUAUUUUUGGGUGUAUAAAAAUACACGAAUUAAUGUGUUAGAAGAGGCAAGUGUAUUUGACAUUGUGUAACUGUACAAAUGUAGCUAAAUGCUUCGAAAAGGUAUGCAGGUGCGCUUAAGAUCAGGUUAUAUACAUUGGUAACUACGAAAUAGUCGUUGAUAAUAGUUCACGUGACUCAAAGUAUGCAAUUAAUUUUCAGAAAAAUUAAAGCAAUUCCGAAAAUAAACUACUUAAGUGCUGCAGGAUCCGUCAAAAGCAGCGCCUUUUUAAUUAAAAUCUUAUAUUGCUCAAUUACCCUGAUCGCAAUUCCCAGUGUCAGGAUACAAUUGAUGCAUAACUAUUUUGCAGUAGCAUUUCAAAAUACCUAGAUUCAAAUUCAUCAAACAUAUAAAUAAAAAUAAAAAUAAAAAUAUUGAAUGACAAUAAGAUUAAGAGCAUGCAAGCCAAGAAUAGAGUUUACAGGUAAUUUAAAAAAGAGUAACUAUAAAUAGUAUCAGGAUAGGAAAUUAAUAUAACAUUCGGAUAUAUAUAAGCAUGCGAGGAGCAAGAAACGGCGAAGGAUUGACAGGUGAGGGUUUUGAAAUCGACUUCGCGGCAGGUUUUCAACAGCAGAUUUGGGGAUAUAGAUCGAGAAUCUGUUUGGCUUGGGUAAGUCCUAACAAAGAAGCCAAAAUUUGACUGAUUUGGUAGCAUUUAAGCUAAGCCAAACAAGCACCUAAUCUGCUGCAUUUCGAAACAUAGAUUCGGAAAAUUGGAGAGAAGGCUACAAUUUAUAUAGGAGUUGGAGGGCGGCGGCGUCCUUGAAUUUACGGAUUAGGGUUUUUGCCUAAUGGCGAAUGAAUUGUUAAAUUAUUACGGAUACCCUUAAAUUAAAGGGUUUU
rnacentral:lncRNA from 1 species